rnacentral:tRNA from 2 species
GGACGGUUCGUAUAACGGCUGAUUACGUUUGAUUGCAAAUCAAAAAAUGCCAGUUCGACCCUGGCACCGUCCUCCA